ACACGACCCGAGAAGAUAGUGGUGUUGUACUUCUGCCAAAUAACGGCAAGAAAGUAGUAACCAUUACGGUCACAUACAGAUCUCAAGACGAGUCUGAAAUCUUGUUGAGUCCGAUUACUGCACUGGUAUGCGAGGAAUUGACAAGCACAAGCAUCACAACGACCACUGUUUCGACUACACAUCCAUCGGUUUCCUCGACAUCAACUCCACCAUCAACAUCAAUUACAACGCCAGAAUAUUGCGAGAUGGGCGAAGAAGAGAGAGUUGUUUCACCACGUAUCGAAAGCAUUACCUCUAACGGCUUACCUCUUGAGAAUUUCGAUGCGUUCAACUCGGACGAAAGACCCAUACCAGUUACAACAGAUGAGAACAACACGGUUGUAGUCAAGAUUGACAUUCAACGGCCAGACGCGACAGAAGUGAAUGCGUUGCAAUUGCCCGAACCUAAAUAUAUUGAAUCCGUCACCGUUACCUACACAGAUAACACAACUCUA